rnacentral:rRNA from 1 species
UAAACGACUCUCGGCAACGGAUAUCUUGGCUCACGCAUCGAUGAAGAACGUAGCAAAAUGCGAUACUUGGUGUGAAUUGCAGAAUCCCGUGAACCAUCGAGUUUUUGAACGCAAGUUGCGCCCGAAGCCUUUUGGCCGAGGGCACGUCUGCCUGGGCGUCAUAC